GGACCAUGAGACAAGAGUUGGAGCACACAGUGUCUUAUCUGUCGUGCUUAUGCCAUCCUUGCUUUCUCUUUGGUCUGACCAGAAUAAGAAAACAUCAGAAGCUAUUACUGGAUUUUUAGGUACAUUGCCGAAGUCAAUAAGCAAAAGCUUCUCCUUUCGGGAUGAAGGUAAGGAUAAGGCAGAAGCCAUAGAUGGAGAAUCAUGGGAGGAAAACAAUCAAAUAUUGGACAUGGGUGCAAAAAACUUUAGAAAAAAUGGC
rnacentral:misc_RNA from 1 species